GUGCUCACUUCAGUAGCACAUACGCUAAAAUUGGAACCAUGCAGAGAAAAUUAGCAUGGCCCCUGCACAAGGGUGACACAUAAAUUCGUGAAGCAUUUGGGGGAAAAAAGCAUUA
rnacentral:snRNA from 1 species